rnacentral:rRNA from 1 species
GACGAACGCUGGCGGCGUGCUUAACACAUGCAAGUCGAACGGAAAGGCCCUGCUUUUGUGGGGUGCUCGAGUGGCGAACGGGUGAGUAACACGUGAGUAACCUGCCCUUGACUUUGGGAUAACUUCAGGAAACUGGGGCUAAUACCGGAUAGGAGCUCCUGCUGCAUGGUGGGGGUUGGAAAGUUUCGGCGGUUGGGGAUGGACUCGCGGCGUAUCAGCUUGUUGGUGGGGUAGUGGCUUACCAAGGCGUUGACGGGUAGCCGGCCUGAGAGGGUGACCGGCCACAUUGGGACUGAGAUACGGCCCAGACUCCUACGGGAGGCAGCAGUGGGGAAUAUUGCACAAUGGGCGGAAGCCUGAUGCAGCAACGCCGCGUGCGGGAUGACGGCCUUCGGGUUGUAAACCGCUUUCGCCUGUGACGAAGCGUGAGUGACGGUAAUGGGUAAAGAAGCACCGGCUAACUACGUG